GGGAGUAAUGCCUUAUGAGAUACGUUUGUCGCAUGGCAUUUGUAUUAAACGCUCCGGCGCCAUAGGAUGGACCCGCGUCCCAUUAGCUAGUUGGUGAGAUAACAGCUCACCAAGGCCACGAUGGGUAACCGGUCUGAGAGGGCGAACGGUCACACUGGAACUGAGACACGGUCCAGACUCCUACGGGAGGCAGCAGUGGGGAAUAUUGCGCAAUGGGGGCAACCCUGACGCAGCAAUACCGCGUGAGUGAAGAAGGUUUUCGGAUCGUAAAGCUCUGUUAUUGGGGAAGAAAAAAAGACGGUACCCAAGAAGAAAGUUCCGGCUAACUACGUGCCAGCAGCCGCGGUAAUACGUAGGGAACAAGCGUUGUCCGGAUUUACUGGGCGUAAAGGGCACGCAGGCGGUUUUUUAAGUCAGAUGUGAAAGGCCACAGCUCAACUGUGGACAUGCAUUUGAAACUGAAAGACUUGAGUAUUGGAGAGGCAAGUGGAAUUCCUAGUGUAGCGGUGAAAUGCGUAGAUAUUAGGAGGAACACCGGUGGCGAAGGCGGCUUGCUGGACAAAUACUGAC
rnacentral:rRNA from 1 species